UACGUAGGGCGCAAGCGUUGUCCGGAAUUAUUGGGCGUAAAGAGCUCGUAGGCGGCUUGUCACGUCGGGGUGUGAAAGCCCGGGGCUUAACCCCGGGUCUGCAUUCGAUACGGGCUGGCUAGAGUGUGGUAGGGGAGAUCGAAUUCCUGGUGUAGCGGUGAAAUGCGCAGAUAUCAGGAGGAACACCGGUGGCGAAGGCGGAUCUCUGGGCCAUUACUGACGCUGAGGAGCGAAAGCGUGGGGAGCGAACAGG
rnacentral:rRNA from 1 species